rnacentral:lncRNA from 1 species
AUGCCUUGUGUGCCAACAAUGUGUCAGAGAUUGGUUAAGUUAAGGUGCCUGGAUGGCUCAGUCAGUUUCAUGAGGACAAUGCAGAGGAACUCAUGUGUAUGCUGUGUAUGCAGUGGUUUGGAGUCACAAGUGAGGAAUACUGAGCCUGCAGAAGCCACUGUAUUAAUAACUCUUGGCAUUUUCAACGAAGCCAUUAUGAGGCACAUGUGGAAGUUUGACCUCUUUGAAAAACUACUUGAGAGUGUUCUUCCUCUUUGUAAAAAAGAAUAA